GUGAUUAUUAGUCCCAGACCACUAUUAAAUCCCAUGUUUCCCUUGAGAGAAACCAGGAUCUUGCAAGGUAUGUGAACACUACUAUGGUUGUCUGUUUGAGUCCAUCACUAUUUUAUGAUUUGUCACAUACCUAUAUCCUAGUAAGUUCAAUAGUUUUCCUGUCUGUUUUUGUAGGGUCCAGUGAUUUUUCAAUAUCUUCAUGUUGAUUGAACAUUCUUUGUUAGUUGGCAAAUGACAAUUUGAAUUUCAUACUUAUUCAUCAUUUUGUAAAAUAUCUCGACUUAUGUUCCGAAGAUAGCAUCCCAAUUUACGAAAUCGAAUGCCUUUUGUAAAUCUACAUAAAUACGAACUCUUUUCAUUGUAAUUUUUUUGAGGUCUUGACUGUUG
rnacentral:lncRNA from 1 species